ACAGUUUCAGUUCUUCAUGAUUACACGUCAAGUUCUAAUCUUCUUCAUCACAGUUAUGUCUUGUGAGCCUUAAAGAAAUGAGAAUGAAGGUAUACCGUGAUGCCUCUGAGGAGUCCAUUAUGAAGUUAGUAGCGAUAGAGUUGUGCUAUUAACUGAACAAGUAACUUGAAAAGAGCUUGAGGAAGAAGGAGAGGAUAUGCAGAUCGAAAUGUUAACACAAGUCCGCAAGAAAACUAUUAGCAAGAACAAGAUACAUAGGAGUAGUUAAAGUAUCUGAUUAUACUAUGGUGGAUAAUGAUGUUCAAAUUGUUGGCUGGCUGGCUGGAGCACUCUCUCAGGUUAACCUUUGUUUUACUUUCGACAAAAUCACUUGAGAGGAUGUGGGUAUGGUUUUCAAUUCAUCAUGAUUUUUGCCAGGUUCUUUUUUUCUUUUCUUUUUAUGAAAAAAAUAUAUAUCAUAUAGUGAACACGAAGUGCGUCCACUUUUUUAACAGUGAAAUGAAAGACAAUUAGGAACGGAUUCAAAUAAUAAAUGUUAGAUUUGUUCAACUCAACAAUAUACAUCAUGUCCAGAUUUAUCCUGUCUUGAUUGAAGCGAAUGUGUGGAGGAAGAAGUCCUAGAAUCAUCACUACUCACCCGCUUUCCUUAUGCUCUUUCCAUAUCGUUACCACAGAAUGAGAGAGAUGCUCUUCAAUUCUGUUUUUGCCAUAUAUCUUCGUAUCUUUUUUACAUUUGUUCUUUGCUUAUCAUGGAUACAUCACUUAAUUGUUGAUUUCUCCGUGGUUUCAGCUUACAAAACAUUAUUAACCGUUAACAGAAGUUGAUGUUCACAAAUAAGUUGGCGGCUUGGCGCGUAUGGUAGUACAAUACAAGGGUGUUGAAUAAAACUUAAUAAAAGUUGGAUCCUAUGUAGUAGUGGUUUAUAAGUCAAAAUACAGCAAGGGCCUCGUCGUGGACAGACAAGGGAAUGUGCCACCAGAUACCGCAAUAGAUAAGGCAGUCAAAGAUCUGGUUAGUGGAUAAUUUGAUCCCCCCACCCUUUAUAUCUAUUUCUAUACCACUUACUAAAAGGAUACUACUAACAGAGAAAAGCUUAGCUUUUUAAACUUCAAACCUCGAAAGGGUUCAAAACAUUUAUGUAUUGCCUGCAUCAGAUUAGCUACUUGCAUGGGUGUGAUGCUAUGCAGUAGGCGGUAGGCCAAAAGUAUAUCAUUGACAGCCAUUAAGAGGUUAACGUAAGGAGCUUUUCAUUUUCAAAUAAUUUUUUUGGAAAAAAAAAAAUAAAUGAAAUCUUGUUUGACGAAAAAGUGGAUUAUUUGGGUAAUUUGAUAUUUUUGAUUGAUGAAAUGAUGGAUGAUGAGAAAAGCAGUUAUUUGGAUUGACUCUUCAUCAGACAGAUGCUAUAAAAUUUCAUCAAACAAGGCCUAGGUAAUGUGAACUUAAAAUGCUAUAAAAUUCUCAGAAAGAACAAACUCUUUUCAUCAUAAUUUGUUAAAGUUAAGAAUUUGAUAUUGACACAAACAUUAUUGUAGGAUAGAGCUGUAUCACUGGGUCAUGAGGCAUCUAAAUGAUAGUCAAACUUUGACAAAGUUCCUUGCCAUUCAUCCAUGUGAAUGUGCAAAAGGGAGAUGGGACUUUGU